GAAAGAGACCUUCUAAAAAAGUUAAAAUGUAUUAACGGGCACGCGAAACCUUAAAUUAGAGUGAAUAAAUGAAGACUUGGCACACCACUUCUGAAAGGUUGCCGACCCCUGCUCUAUAGCCACUACUAUAUCUUCCUAGUCUACAGUCCAGUACAUAGUUCAGGUACUACCAUUGUGCAGAGGGAAAUGGCCAAUAAAUUUGGCAGCCCUGAUUUCAGUUGAGUGCUUACUGUGUAUUGUUAUAUUGUGUAGAUGUUUAAUGUGUAAUAUUUAAAUAUUUUUAUUCUGGUUUUGUCUUCAACUCUCUUGGCCACAGAUCUUUCCUUCCAGAGCAAAGUGUAGAACACACUUCAGGUUAGCUUUUCCACAACAAGGGAAAAAGAUAGACGGGAUAAAUAAAGAGGUGGCUCACUAGAUCAUCUUACUAACGGAAAUUCAUACAUGAUCAUCUUGGCGCUGAGAUAUGGUGAUAGAUGUGAAACCAGAACCCUGCAAGGGCAUAGGGUUAACAUGCUAUAUAAAUGCAACGAUUACAGGAAAACCCCAAAGAUAAGUGAGAACAGCGAGGAAAAUGAUCAAACUGACCACUUUUCUAAUGAGAAACUUGGAAACAAAAGCAUGUGUGCGCGCGUGCUCAAGUCUGUUAAGUUGUUAUAAUUGUAAAGAGGAAAGAUAAUAUAGACUGUCAUCUGCAUCUGUGAUUCCUGUGAGCUUGUGGGGUGGUUGUUGUCUUCUAUUGCCCCAAGAUGGAUGGCAGAUGUUUGGGGUUAGUAAGGUUUGCAUAAGGGAGAGAAAAGUGCUGUAUAAACUGUUAGCUACAAAGCAGCAUAGGGAUACAUCAAAUGCAUCUAAUAUUUCACUUAGAACUUGCCUCCGAAGUUUACUUUGUCAUCAAUUCAGAUAUUUGCUUUUGGGCUAAAUUUUGUUUGUAUGAAAUUAAUCUCUCAAAUUAAUAAACAUCUGCUCCUUCCUUUGUAUUUUGUUCAGUAGAGCAAAACUGACAUUUUAAUGGAGGUUUCAUCAGACAGGAGAAUUGAUUAUUCAAAAUGUUUCAGAAUACAAUCCACUUUUUCCUCAUCUGUACAAAACAAUCGUAAUUUAAUGGAUCUGUUUAAAGCAGACACACUUGGUCUCAGUUUACAAAUGAAAUGCACUAAAUUGUUUGGGUUUUGUGUAUUUUAGCGACUACAAAUCCUGACAUUCACUGAAGUCAACAGGAAAGCUCCCUGCCAGAAUUUUUUCCUGACUCUGUGCUUUAUGCCUGCAGCUAAGAUCUGGAAUGUUCAGGCAGAUGCUCUCUAGGUUUGUUGGACUGGUGAAAAGGGUGUUCUGAAGAGACUUUGCUCCCUUCUUCCUUCCUGAUUAGAGCAACAGAGUUAAAAAAUGAUUAUCUUUAUUGCAUGUUGCAAGGCAUAUCUAUUUUCUGAAGAUGUAGUUUGAAUAGUGGAUGAGAUUUUUUUUUUUCCCCUAUGGAAGAUAGAGGUGGAGGAGAGAUUCCUUAUUGUUAAUUGAUGUUAGUUCAGGGUACAGUAUGUGAUUUUAUAGUUCUUGUACCUGGGCCUAGAAACCAAUAUAUAGUACUCACACUUUAUAAACCAAAAUAUGCUGUCUCUUGUAUGGUUAAAAAUAAAUAACAAAAAAUUAUCAAGAGCCUUUCCAGCCAAAGAGGACCUUUUUCCCUCAAAGCAGAAUGUGAAUUGUAAACAUUUCAAAGUCAAAGGUUGUAACUGUUAUCCUGGCUUGAUUCUUGAAUAAAGUGUUAAAACUCCAA